rnacentral:rRNA from 1 species
CGCGUAGGCGGUGCGGUAAGUCACCUGUGAAACCUCCGGGCUCAACUCGGAGCCUGCAGGCGAAACUGCCGUGCUGGAGUGUGGGAGGGGUGCGUGGAAUUCCCGGUGUAGCAGUGAAAUGCGUAGAGAUCGGGAGGAACACCUGUGGCGAAAGCGGCGCACUGGACCACAACUGACGCUGAGGCGCGAAAGCUAGGGGAGCAAACAGGAUUAGAUACCCUGGUAGUCCUAGCCCUAAACGAUGGAUGCUUGGUGUAGCCGGUACCCAAUCCGGCUGUGCCGCAGCUAACGCGAUAAGCAUCCCGCCUGGGGAGUACGGUCGCAAAGCUGAA